CAGCAGCCACGGGAACACAGAGGGUGCGAGCGUUAAUCGGAUUUACUGGGCGUAAAGCGUGCGUAGGCGGCUUCUUAAGUCGGAUGUGAAAUCCCUGAGCUUAACUUAGGAAUUGCAUUCGAUACUGGGAAGCUAGAGUAUGGGAGAGGAUGGUAGAAUUCCAGGUGUAGCGGUGAAAUGCGUAGAGAUCUGGAGGAAUACCGAUGGCGAAGGCAGCCAUCUGGCCUAAUACUGACGCUGAGGUACGAAAGCAUGGGGAGCAAACAGGAUUAGAUACCCCAGUAGUCCCUGUCUCUUAUAC
rnacentral:rRNA from 1 species